rnacentral:rRNA from 1 species
CCUACGGGAGGCAGCAGUGAGGAAUAUUGGUCAAUGGGCUUACGCCUGAACCAGCCAAGUCGCGUGAGGGAAGACUGCCCUAUGGGUUGUAAACCUCUUUUGUCAGGGAGCAACGCCGGCUACGUGUAGCCGGACUGAGAGUACCGGAAGAAAAAGCAUCGGCUAACUCCGUGCCAGCAGCCGCGGUAAUACGGAGGAUGCGAGCGUUAUCCGGAUUUAUUGGGUUUAAAGGGUGCGUAGGCGGAAUGCCAAGUCAGCGGUAAAAUCGCGGGGCUAAACCUCGCUCCGCCGUUGAAACUGGCGUUCUUGAGUGCAGGAGAGGAAAGUGGAAUUCCUAGUGUAGCGGUGAAAUGCGUAGAUAUUAGGAGGAACACCAGUGGCGAAGGCGACUUUCUGGACUGUACCUGACGCUGAGGCGCGAAAGCGUGGGUAGCGAACGGGAUUAGAUACCCGGGUAGUC